AAAUGAUAUCAACCUAUAAUGGAAACUAGGUGAGUGACCCCGCGUUGCAGGGACAUAUGUGAGAUAUUUUUUGUUCGGUUUAUUCUCUGUAGAUAUUCUUUUAUGAACUAUUUGUUUAUAGUUUGAAUAUGACAUUAGGUUAAAGAGGGUGUUAUUGUUUGAACCUCGUUCUGAAAGUUGUAACAACCCAAAUAUAGCAUUAAGAGAAUGCUAUAAUAAACAAAUUAAUGAAAGUACAUUAUUAUUUCUUGCAUAUAGGCUUACAUAGAGAACAAUUGCAACCCAAUAUUGGAUUUAUUUUUCAAAAUUUUCAAAUUUGUAAAUUGUGUUAAAUGACCAGAAUAUAUUAUGUCAAAGGAUGUGUGUUUUUUGGUGCUUGUUACAUGUUCCAGCACACCAAUCACAUACAUUAUAGCGUGAAAUAGCAUUGUACUUUUGUCCCUUCGGAAUUUUUAGAGUGAGAUCGUUCUGUAAUAUGAUUUCUAUGGACACAAAUGGCAUGAAGUGUUUUUCUUUCUCCAACUUAUCCUUGGGCACAAGUAACACAAAGCUACAGAAAAGAAAAAACAUAACUUUAAUCAAUCAAAAGUAGUAAAAAAAAUAGAUUACUCUAGAAAUAUGAAUAUUUACCUUAUUGUUGAUGUUAUUGAAUGUCCCUGAAAUCAUGUGUAGUGUAUCUAUAUUUAGCAUCAUGAAGAGAAAAAGAAAAUCAAAGGAUUCGAACCAAUUUGACAAAUUGUUUCAUCUUAUCGAACAUUAUUUAGUCUUUCAAUCAAAAGUUCUUCUGUAAGCGAAAACCUGUCAUUUGAGAUUGCAAAUUAUGUAAUACUAUCAGCAACAACAGAAGAAACAAAAAAAUGGGAAUAGAAAUAUUGCAUCAUUUACAUACAAAAGAAAUGCUAAAAUCAUGAAACUACUAAAUGAAAAAGUGGAAGAAACAAAACAAAUAUAGUGAUUUUGAUGGGUUCCAAUCUUUUGUACUAAAAUGACCAUUUUGUCAUUCAUCUUGAAUAAAUAGAGUAUAUUUGCAAAACACAUUAAAUCAUAAUUUUUUUUCCAUAUCUUACGUAUAAACUAUCUCAUAAUAUAUGUAGAGGUGGUUAAUUACCGUAUUGUCCCCAUGGGAUGAGGCAAGUAUUUGGUCUUUUUUUGUUAUAUUCUAUCAUCAUAAGGUAUAUAUAUAAUUAAUACACCAUGAUCCAUAGUUAACUAUGAUGAUUCCAUUCAAUGUUAUGUACGAAUUGUUUCAGAACCUAAAAUGCAUAAAUGAAUUCCAAAGCUAAAUUGUUAACUGUGAACAAAUAUAUUCUUUGUAGGAUACUAAGAGUGAUUAAACUGAUAUCAUUAGGGUAUGGCAAAAAAUACCUUUUCGUGUUUUGUUUGACCUCCAUUAAUAAGAAAACUUUAUAGAUUCUCAGUCGUCAAAAAACAAAACCCUGAGUAAACACAAAGGAGAACAUAAACACAGUUAAAGAAGUUAAAAGCUAUGAUAGACCCUUAUGACCUUACCACCGACCUCACUUUGAUUAACACACACAAAAAAUGCCCAUCCACCCACCCUUACUUUGAUAGCAUCAUAACCCAAUUUAACACACACCAAACACAUGCUAUAUACCCCGGUCCCUCACCCCUUACCAUAGUUGAAGAUAUAGGAAUCAUAAACCUGAUUAUACGACCUGUGAAACACCAGAAGUAAAUAAUUAGUUAAUAAAAUCUGAAUUUGAAGGAUCAUUAACUUGAUAGAAGGAAUACAUGUAUGAAGAUUAGUGUCCUAAUUAGAUAACAACUGAUCAAAUUUGUAAUACUGGUCCUCACAUGGAAGAAUGAGAGGAUCGAUUAGUGUCUCCAAAUCACGAUAAUUGACAAAAUCGACCGAAGUUGGAGUCGGAGAAUGACGGAACGAAAUUGGAAGAAUCGGAAAGAAACACCCCCAAACCGGAAAAACUUUUGGAGUCUAUGACUGACCUACCUUAUAGUGCAGCAACGUCGGCAACAAACAACAAAAGGAGUGGAUGGAAUUUAGGAGAGCGAGGUUUAAGAAGGAAUUGAGAUGAGAGGAAUCGAUUUGGAAAAGAAAAAAGGAAAAGGAGGUGGAAGAAUCUGGAAUUUCUGAGAGAAAGAUGGACCGGUGAGAGCAGUUGUCGACAUAGUGAUCUUUGUAGUGGAAGCCAAAAGGUUUAUGAGAGAAAGUAUUGGGGGUGGAUGGGAGAAAAAGGCGGUGGGAGAUAAC
rnacentral:lncRNA from 1 species